rnacentral:rRNA from 1 species
GACGAACGCUGGCGGCGUGCUUAACACAUGCAAGUCGAACGGAAAGGCCCUUCGGGGUACUCGAGUGGCGAACGGGUGAGUAACACGUGGGUGAUCUGCCCUGCACUUUGGGAUAAGCCUGGGAAACUGGGUCUAAUACCGAAUAGGACCACGCGCUUCAUGGUGUGUGGUGGAAAGCUUUUGCGGUGUGGGAUGGGCCCGCGGCCUAUCAGCUUGUUGGUGGGGUAAUGGCCUACCAAGGCGACGACGGGUAGCCGGCCUGAGAGGGUGACCGGCCACACUGGGACUGAGAUACGGCCCAGACUCCUACGGGAGGCAGCAGUGGGGAAUAUUGCACAAUGGGCGCAAGCCUGAUGCUGCGACGCCGCGUGAGGGAUGACGGCCUUCGGGUUGUAAACCUCUUUCACCAGGGACGAAGCGUAAGUGACGGUACCUGGAGAAGGAGCACCGGCCAACUACGUG